rnacentral:rRNA from 1 species
GACAGAGGGUGCAAACGUUGUUCGGAAUUACUGGGCGUAAAGCGCGUGUAGGCCGCUUCGCAAGUCGGAUGUGAAAGCCCUGGGCUCAACCCAGGAAGUGCAUUCGAAACUGCAGAGCUGGAGUCCUGGAGAGGAAGGCGGAAUUCUCGGUGUAGAGGUGAAAUUCGUAGAUAUCGAGAGGAACACCGGUGGCGAAGGCGGCCUUCUGGACAGUGACGUGACGCUGAGACGCGAAAGCGUGGGGAGCAAACAGG